UUCUGGCCAGGAUGAACGCUGGCGGCGUGCCUAAUACAUGCAAGUCGAACGAGAGUGCUUGCACUCUAGUGGCGAACGGGUGAGUAACACGUAGGUAACCUGCCUUACAGUUGGGAUACCCUGGCGAAAGCUAGGCUAAUACCGAAUAAUUGGAUUGGAGGCAUCUCCGAUCUCUAAAAGGGGCCUUUAAAGCCUCGCUGAAUGAUGGACCUGCGGCGCAUUAGCUAGUUGGUGAGAUAACAGCCCACCAAGGCGAGGAUGCGUAGCCGACCUGAGAGGGUGAACGGCCACACUGGAACUGAGACACGGUCCAGACUCCUACGGGAGGCAGCAGUAGGGAGUUUUCGGCAAUGGGGGCAACCCUGACCGAGCAACGCCGCGUGAAUGAUGAAGGUCUUCGGAUUGUAAAGUUCUGUUAUAAGGGAAAAAUGAUAUGGUGAGGAAAUGCUCCAUAUUUGAUGGUACCUUAUUAGAAAGCCACGGCUAACUACGUGCCAGCCGCUGC
rnacentral:rRNA from 1 species